CUGCAGUCAAGGAAGGUUAAGCCAAAUGCAGUUUUGUUCACAACUGGAUCACAAGCUCCAGAGAUGUUCUUCCCAUGAAAGCUUUGUUCCUUCAUAGCUGAUCUUCAAGACCUAGUCUUCUGAUUUCUUGCCUGCAGCCUCCAUUCUGAUUAAUGACUGAGCCAAGAUGAGAGAUUUUUAGCAGCACUGGAAUGAUGGUGAAGAAGACAUGGAUAAACACUUUUGGGCAUAGAUUGGACAUCUACAGCAGGGGUCCCCAAACUAAGACCCACAGGCCAGAUGCGACCCCCCAAGGACAUUUACCCAGCCCCUGCUCUAAAUCUUUAACUUAGGGUGGUCUUAAUCUGAAACAACUUGAAGGCACACAACAAGGAUCCUAAUUAACUUGACUAUCUCAUCAGCCAAAAGCAGGCCACAUUUCCCACUGAAACACCGAUCUGACUGGAGGUUUGUGGAUUAACGCGAGAUGCAAUGGGCGUGCCGCUAUCCCGACUGGAAGCACUCCACUGUAUCCUUUUUUCCUUUUUGUUUCUCUUUUCUUUUUUCUUUCUUUCUUUUGUUUUAUUUUUGUGGUUAUGUUCUUUUCUUUUCAACACAACCGUUUCUUUACAACAUAUGGGAUGGAAUUUCCCCUCCUUUACUAAGUAUAGUUUUUAAAACUUAACAUAUUUGCAAAUGUUAUUACAUGGAAUCUUAGACGUCUAACAAUUCUUAAAGAGAGAAAAUGGUUCUUUUUCACCUAAAGAAACAGAAAACUGAUAUUGCUCUUUUGCAGGAGAACAAGUGGCAAUUCUUCAAAAGCAAAAUAUGUCGUCAUUUACAAGAGUGUUCCACUUUUAGUGACUCAAAUCACUCUAGAAACAGAAGAUCACAUCCUUAUACAUCAAAACCUGAAAUAAGACUUUGAUAAAUUUAUAUGGCCCAAAUUUGGAUUCUCCUAAUAUAUUUGAUCAAUUUGACUAGCAUUAUAUAACCAUGACUGUAUAUGACAAUUAGAUAGGGAGGAGGCUGUUAAUGGUAUUCAUUAUUCCAUUUUAUAUGGGAAACUUCACCAUGCAAAUUAAAUUGUGUGUUCUGAUGCUAUAAUUAAAAGUCACAUGCCUGAACUAGGAUUGGAAGGUGUCUGCUGCCACCCUUUUUUCCCUCAUUUUUGCUUGGAUCAAAAAAGACCUAUGCAAGCGUAAUGUGAAUUACACCAGCAGAUGUCACUAACAGAAUGCCAGCAGUUGCAUGUUCUUUUGCGUUAUCUUAUUGUAUAUCACUCCGGUUUAUUUUCAGAAUAUUAUGCACAUGGUUUAAAGUAUUUUAAUUUCUCAAGAUGUUUAAGAUGUUUUGGACAUUUUAUUUUUGCUUUUUUAGACUUUUAAAACUUGUUAAUGUCAGGUUUUUUUGUAACUUACCCUCAGAUCUCAAAAUAUAAGGUAGGAGAUAAAUAUUUUAAUAAAUAAUGAGUAAAUAAAAUUAACACUAUUUAGGACAUUUAUAUAAGGACAUUUCUGAUUCAUUUUUUUAAAAAAGACACAGCUGUCAUUUUCUGAAGAUGGGUUUAAUUUUCCAGAUUUGAGUUGAUAUUUCAAGACAUAUUUCCUGACUCGUACAAAUAACUGGCAAGUACAACCAGAUUUGAUUGCAUUUCUUGGCUUAUCUUAUAAUUAACCUAGUUAAUUUUAACUGGAUUACUGUAGGUUCACCUGUCUGAGUAAGAAAGGAUGGUGCCUGCUGCAAUUUCUGAUGUUAGAGUAGACUAGUACAGGCAAUCCCCGAGUUACAAACAUCUGACUUACAAACGACUCAUAAGAACAGGGAUAAAACAACAAGAACUGAGAGGAAUCUACCCCUAAGAAUGGAAAUUCACUCCUGAAAGAGUUCUCAGAGGGAAAAGGUGUCUCCACUGAAACUUUUUCUGACAUUCCUUGUUUCUACAAUAAGACUAUUUUUUUCAAAAUCCAAUGAUCACAGGGACAGACGGUGAGGUGAAAUCUUCUGAAGAGGGACAAAAACAGCAAAACAAACACCAUAGGGUGUUAAUCGUUACCUAUGCUGUCCAAAGUGUGUGUGUGUGUGUGUGU